GGCCUGGUAGCUCAGUUGGUAGAGCAGUGGAUUGAAGAUCCUCGUGUCGGUGGUUCGAUUCCGCCCCGGGCCACCA
rnacentral:tRNA from 8 species